rnacentral:lncRNA from 1 species
AAAUCAACUGAAAACUGCCUAAUAGGCUUAAAGGAAGCUCAACCAAGAUCUUGUCUUGUUAGGGCAUAUUUCUAUUAGCAAAUAAUAAAGUAAAGAGAAGCCAUCGAUGCACUGGCCUUGAGUCCAAUGCAGGAAGUCUCUGUUCUCAGCUAGGAUAAGGAUAGCUAUUUCUACAAUAACAACAAAUCUCUCAGCACCAGUUUUUGCAGUCUUCAUCUGAACAUAUAAUAUGGGAAUACAGGAUACAGACAGAAUUACCACCCAAGUCACUUAACAGUGCUUCUAGGCAAUCAGUGGAGUCUCAUACUGUAGCAGAUAGUUGAAGAGCCUUCACAUGAUUCUUACACAAUGCGCAUGGGGCCACAACACUUUCAUAAUAUCCAUUUUGUUAGUUGCUAGUAAGAACUGUGUUUUUUUUGUUGUUGUUUUUUUUUUUAGGGGAAAUUAAUACUAUACCAAUUAGAAGUAGUCACUUGGACAGCUGAUAUGGAAACAGACCUUUGAAAUAAGAAAAAGUUUAGCUUUUCUGAGGUAAGGUAUAGACUACAAAUCAGGGAAGAUGUGGCCUUAGCACUUUGGAAAUCACUUCACAACAGGGAUAUACUACUUUCAAGUCGCCCUAAGAAUUCAGCUGGACAACAGCGUUCAUAGGCUUAUCCUUGACAUGAAUUCCUUAAAAAUAAUGAACUCACAUACUUUGAAAAUUUUAUAGUUACCAAAGAAGACAAGUGGGGGAGGGAUGGAUUGGGGGCUUGGGAUUGGUAUCUGCACGCUGAGGUAUAGGGAAUGACUAGCCAACAGGGACCUGCUGUAUACCACAGAGACAACCCAAUAUUCUAUGACGAUUUAUGUGGGAAAAGAAUCUGAAAGAGAAUGGAUGUGUCUACAUGUAUAACUGAAUCACUUUGUUGUACAGUAGAAAUUAUCACAACCUCGUAAAUCAACUCUACUUCAAUAAAACUAUAUAAAAAAUAAUGGAGGCAGUCCACUGUGGCGCAAUGGAAUCAGCAGUGUCUUGGGAGCCCGGGGACACAGGUUCGAUCCCUGGGCCAGGACAGUGAGUUAAGGAUCCAGCAUGGCCGUAGUUGCAUCUUAGGUUGCAACUGCGCUUAGGUUACCACUGUGGCUCAGAUGUGAUUCCUGGCCUGGGAACUCCAUAAGCCAAGGGGCAGCCAAAAUAAUAAUAAUGAUGAUGAUGGAAGUGCAUGAGAUUUAAAAUCAAAAGACCCGCCAAAAACCAGGAAGGUAUAUGUAAAACAUAUAUCAGAAAAAUGCUGAGCAUCUUUAGAAAGAGAAAUGGAAGGACAUCUCCUCCUAUUCCCACUCCUCAAACCCCUACUAUUAAAAAAAUCAGGCAAGUCACAAAAUGAAGUGUAUGGGGAAAGGUCCAAGGCAUUCCUCAUCAAAAGCAUGUAAGUUCAAAUAAGAUUCUUUUUGGUCCCCACAAACAACUGCCAGAGAUUAUUUUAAGUUAAAAUCCAGAAACUGUGAGGACACUAUUACAAACAGUUAGUGAAAGUUUAAAAAUGAUAUAGACUUUCAGGAAACCAUUAUCAGUAUGUCUUCAAAUUAUGGUACAUUCAUUUGCAAUAUUAUGAGGUCAUUAAAAGAAUCCUGUAGAAGCUUUUAGAGACCUGGAAAGUUGUUCAUGGAAAACGAUAAGAAAACCUAAGUACAGAAAAUUACACUUUCGUCAAACAUAUGAAACACAACCUGUUCGUAAACUUGUGGACUUUCUAUAUUUAACAAGAAUGUUUAGAGUUACUGUGAGGGCAAAGCAGAUGGCUUCUACCCUUAAUUCUCAGAGAUUUUGCUAACUUUGGUAGAAAGCUAGCUAUUGCAAGCUGAUUCUCAUUUAUGAAAUACAAGUGCUCAAAAACGAAUUUUAAAAAGUACCUAAUUUCUGCAUUUAGCAUUAUUUUUUUUAAAAGGCUCUACGAAGUGUUCUUUGAAAGCUCCUGAAAAAUUUAUUCUCGUGCUUGUUUUAUUUUAAAUAUUAUGAAAUCAGGUAAUUGCAAAGUUAAGUAUCUCUAAGGACUAACAACUGUCAAAAGCAUGUUCCCACAAAAAAAGAGUGUAGAAAGACACAAGUUAUCUCUGUGCUCCAUCACCACAUUGAGUUUAUUUCCAACCACCCAAGUAAGCAAAACGAAACAAAAUACUGUUAUCUGCACUCUACAUAUCACUUGCUUCCACAAGUAAAAUAUCCAGACCAGCAAAGUUGAAGAUGAAAAAGGAAAUCUCUUCCGGAGUCAAUGACUUUGAGUCAGAUACUUAAAUGGACGGUGCCUCAGGUUCCUCAUCUGUUGAAUGGGGUCAUAAUAUUAUUUACCUUGCUGUGGUCUGAAUGUUUGGGUUUCCCCACCCAAAUUCAUAUGCUAAAAUCCCAACCCCCAAAGGUGAUGGAUGGUAUUAGCAGAAGGGGUUUUAGGGAGGUG